rnacentral:lncRNA from 1 species
GAAACCCUAGGGUUUCUGAAUUAGAUUCGGUUGUGGGCCUAUUAAUUGGGCUUAGGGUUUUUAUUUUGGGUUUGUAAUAUCUUGGACUUGGACUUGAAUUCUUUUAUUUUUUUUUGUUUUAUUUAUUUGGUUUUGGGCCCGGGCAAAUUGGGCCUACUACAGUAGCUAUAUAGCAAAAAAAUAGAAGACAUCAUAAUGAACCUAAAUUUAAAAUAGAGUUUUAAAUGUUAACAAUUAGACUUAUAUUUUAACCUUCACAAUUUAAUUCACUUGUUUUAGAAUAGAUAUACUCCAUCUCAAAUUUGAGCUAACAUUUAAUGCACAAACCAAUGACAAAGAAUCUGAUUAAUGCGAUACUAAAACCUUAAGGGCUUAAUUAGAAAAUUUUAAAGUUAAGAAUCAAUUCAAAAUAUGUCAUAAUUUGAGGACAUUUGAUGAAUUAACCCUUUGAUAUAAUAAGGCAUCUCUUCCUAUUUGGGCUCAUUCAAGGUAUCAUUGCCAAGACAAGGACAAGGUAAAGGGGAAAAAAGACAUUACCAUGACUAAUUAAGCUUUUUGAAAAUUGCUUUUAUGCAUUCUUUACAAUAUCCAAUCUUGUUAACAGGAUUGCAAACAUCUAUAUUAUUGUUAAUGUUUUGAUUGUUUUCAUAUAUAUAUAUAUAUAUAUAUAUAUAUAUUUGGGCAAUUUUUAAAUUAUUGUGUGGAACUUGAAAUUUCCAUGUUUCUGCAUAACUUGUAAAAGAAGUAAACCAAUGAGAAACUCAGUCAUUCAAACCUAACCCAAAUUUUCUUGCACUAAGAAUGGUAAAACAUGGACCCAACAAAUUGGAAAAACAACAAACAAGAAGAGAGCUCAUUAACAUGGGGACCCCAUCAAGCACAUGACAACCAUUAGACUGAUUGGGGAAUAAAAAAUGCCAUAGCUAGUUUACAUAUUUGGAAUUCUAAAAUUUAGGUGGAAUUAUUAAUAUUAAUUUUUUUAUUAAAUUUUGUUAGUGUCACGUUUUGAAAUAAAAAAAAUAUUAGUUUAGCAUCAAUGUAAUUAAAAAUUAAUAUUUUAAUAAACUUGAAUUCAACAAAAUAAUUUUAACAGUGUUAACAAUUAGACUUAAAUUUUAAAAUUUAAAAAGUUAUAUAUAUAUAUAUCUUUGCCAUCUUCCAAUGAGAAACUGAAUUAUGUGUGAAUAUAAUUUAGAUGGUCCCCCAACACUUGCCUUGCCAAGACCGGAACAGACACACCAGGCAAGAAAAAUGAUUUUACCCCAAAAAAAAAGAAAGAAAGAAAGAAAAAGAAAAAGAAAAAAAGAACUUAAUUAAUAUCCAUUGAAUUAGUUCUAAUGAAAGGACUACAAUGUCCCCACUAUAAAGAAAAUUAAAUAAGCAAUAGAUUAGUGUAAAUAAAAGAAUAAACUACAUUCCAAUAGAGUUAAGCUGUCUUAGCUCGAUUGGCAUGAAUAUUGUUGUCAAUGUAGGAAGAUGUGGAUUUGAAUAUAUUGAUGCGCAUUAUUCUCCUAUUUAUGGGUUGGGGAGGGACUACGCGUAAUUCUAAAUAUUAUCUUAAAAAGAAUAGAUAUUAUCAGAAUCUAUAAUGAUAUUGUUUGGUUUUAAUGUUUAAUUUAGUAUUUGAGUUGUUUUUCUUUUUCAGAUUUAAUACUUGUGUUUGGCUUUAAUGCUCAGUUUAGUACCCAAAUCAAACGGCAUCAUGUGGCUCAAUGAAUAUUUAAUAUAUGUGCUAUAAAUCUAAUAAAAUAUUAUAGAAUAAAUUGUAGAUGAAGAAUAAAAGAAAUUGUAAAUGUUAAAAUUCAAAAUUAAAUGUACGAAAUUACACUUUUUUUUAAUGAAAAAUGCAUCAACCAAGAAGGGUUCUUUUUCUCAGCUUUGUUUUGUAGUAAAUUACAUGAUUAAAUCAGCAAAUAUGGGUGAAAAAUGUGAUGAGAUCAUUCAAAACAUUAAAAUAAUGUCUUGAAUUUAGUAUACUUUUAAAAGAGAGUGACAUAACCAUAAUGCAAGUGUGAUGCAACUUUCUCAUCAUUAUAAUAUAUAUAUAUAUAUUUAGGUAUGUAACAUUAAUCGUUAAAUUAUGAGUAAGUUAUUGUUUUGGUAUUUAAUUAAAAGAAGUUAAAUUUAGUCACUGAACUAUUUAAAAGUUUUUAUUUAGGUCAUUGCGUGGUUAAGUUUUUUUUUUUAAAGUUCCGCUAGUGAGCUCCAAGCGACGAUUUGAUGAUUGGUACGGUAGAUCAGUAUCCAUCGACAAGUAGAAGAACAUACAUUAGAUUCACGAUGAUCUGAUGGUCUGUGUUGGAGAUUAGAGAAAAAAAGUUGUUUGAAUUUUGUUUACAAAAUCGUGAUGUCCAAAGUUGUUUCAUGAAAAAAAAAUUGAAUUGUAAAAGAGGAGUAAAUAGAGCUUUUGAAUGGUGCAAGCAGUGCGAAGAGAGAAAGUCAUUAAACAUUGGUUUUAACAGUCUAAUAACUUAGAUGGAAACUUUUGAAUAGUUUAGCGACCAAAAUAAUAACUUAUCCAUAGUUUAGUGACUAAUGGUGUAGUUUACUCUUUUUUUACAACUACAAUCAAAAUAAAGAAUUUUACCGUUAUUGAAUUGAAUAAUUAAUUUAACAACAAAUUAACUAUAACCGACAUAAAUUUGGAAAGAAAACUUACAAAUUUGGGUAGGACUUGAACACCAAUCUCAAAUUUCUGGAAAAUUGUAUUUGAAUGGUUUUAAUUUAUUUAUUCUUCAAACUUUUUGACUCAGGAAACUUUAGCUGAAAAAGCUUUAAAGAAAAUUAUUUGGUACACUGUUAGUGGAAUUUUAAACUUCACAAAUAGGGUUAGGGGUUGACAAGAAUUUGAUAGAAAUAUAAUAUAAUGUUAAAAUAUAAAUAUUAAAAAAAGACAUAUAUCAAUUUUUUUAAAAUUAAUUGUGAAAUAAAACAAAUUCAUUUUUACAUACCCUAAAAUUAUUACCUAUAGAAAAGUAGGUCAAAAACAUCAAACAUAUCUUUUUGAAAAAGAAGUAAAAAAAAGUCAUUGUUAAGCUAAUAAAAUCUUUCAAAUGACAUUUAUCUGAAAUAUUUAAUCACUUUGUUUGAAUUAAUUAUUUUAUUUAAUAUUUAUAAUCAGUGGAUAUAACAAUAUAAUAGGGAUACAUACGUCACAUAUUAAGUUCAAGGGGAGCUAUUCAAAUAAAUGUCUAUCACUUGCUUUUCGAAAGCUCAAACUCGGAUGAAUUCUAUAAAUGAACAUCCCUUAAUCACUAAACCAAUCACGAGAGUUUAUAUGAUUUUAUUAAAUCUUAACUAAAAAUUAAAAGGAAUAUAUGCCUAUCUUUCACAAGUUAUAUAACAAAAUUUCAAAUAAUUCAUAGACUAAUAGAAACGAAAAUUGAUUGUUUGAACCAGACUAGUUGGGUCAAAUCGAGAAUCGAUCGAAGUAUCAGUUCAGAAAAAAGUAAUGGAUUGGUUGACUUAAGAACCAAUACGGACUAAUUGUACCGAGCAAAAAAAAUAAUUGAAUCAGAGAAUUGAACUUUUUUAAUUUUUUAAAAUUUUUAAUGAUUUAUUUAAUUAGAAUAAUCAAACCAAUUCGACCAUCAAUCUGAUUCUUAAAACCUUUAUAAAGUGGUAAAUAAUUUUGUGUUGCCUUAAAUUUUAAAGUUAAAUACUUAUUAUUGGAUAUCGGAUUCAGGUUACAACUUACAAGCCCUUUUUCAGUUUUUCUUUACUCUUUGAUAAAAAAAAGAUAAAUCAAGAUUUACCUCUUGAACUUUAUAAGUUUCUCAAUUUAGUCCUAAAACCUUUUUUUUUUCAUAAUAAUACUGAAACUUAACAAUUUUUUUAUAUUAAUCUAUGUGAUAAUGUGGCAUUAUACUAUUGUGUCUCGUUGUCCAAAAAUUAUAUUUUGAUCAAAAUAAAUAAUGACAUGGUGCUUUUAUAUUGUGCAAUGUCAUAAAAAAGAGAGAGUAAUUUCUGGUGAAUUUGGUUUGGGGCACAAGUUGGCAUCCACCAAUUUCGCUCGUUAAAACUUGGGCCAUGGCGGGAUUGUAGUAUGGGUGGAGUAAUAAAUGUUUGGGUAAAUUACACUACAUGUUACCCAAUUAUGGCUCAGUUUUUUUUAGUCACCUAAUUAUGGUUUUUUUUUUAAAUUGGUCACUUAAUUAGUUAGGUUUGUUUUUUGGUCAUUUUCCGUUAAGUCUAGUUAACAAUCCAACUAGACCUAAACGUGGGUCGAGUUGGGCCAAUACAAAAAUUUAGGCUUGCGCUUGUCCCAAAAAUCGGGCUUAAAAUUUUAUCUAAGCCCGACAUGUUUAUAUUAAAAAAAUUAUAUCAUUUUUAUAUAAAAACAAAAUUAAAAAUAUAAGACAUCAAAUAUUCCAAAAAAAAUUAAAAUAAAUAUUUCUCAACAAAUUGAAAAAACAUAAAAAAAUUAUUUAUACUUAAACAACACUAAGAUAGUUGCAGCUUAGCAAGCAAAUACAUCUAAAAUAGUAGCAAAAUUAAUAAUAAAAUAAAAAUUAUACAAUAUUCAAAUAAUAACAACAAAAUAGUAACAAUAUAAUAGUAAACUAGCAGCAAAUAGCAACAAAAUAGUAGCAAACAGUAGCAAAAUAACAUUGAAAAAAAUUAGGUAAAUUUGGGCCAAAAAAAUCUUACCUCAUUUUUUUGUCCAAACCCAUUUUUUUGGCCUAUAUUUUUGCCAAAAUCCUCACUUUUCAGUUGAGUCUUUAGGCUUAUGUUGAUAGCUUAAAAAUUGGUAUAGUAACAAAUUUAGUACUCAAUUUUAUAUAUUAUGUCAAUUUAGCCAUUGUUUUCAAAAAUUAGCCCUCAACAUUGCGAAUUAUUUCAAUUUGGUUGAAAAUUAACCCUCAACGUUGAAAGGAAGGGUAUAGCCCUGAUAUUUUUGGAGCUUUCCAAGCAGGGUUUUGAGGCUGCAAAGUAGCUGAGAGAGCUUGGAGAGAUUAGGGUCGUUGCUAAGAAUGGGAUUCACAUCCUUUCCAAGGUCUAGAAAAGGUUCAAGGGUGGAUUGGGGUUCAUGUGUUGAAGAAAUGGGGUUUUUCAGCAGAUCUUUUGAAGCUUUUGAAGGGACGUUAGCAGUGAAAAUAACUGUUGAUUGUCUUGGUAUGAUGUUUCAUUCAUCUUUCAGGGAUACUGCUUAGGUUCGAAGCUUACUGCAUGUGGCGUGAAGGGAGAAAGGAAACUGACAGAACCUCCCAACUACCAGUCCAAACAUGACCAAAGCUUUAAUUACAUUUUUUUUUUUAAUUCUUCGUGUCUGUUUAUGAUUUAUGUUUGGGUUCAUAAUUCUCCCUCCUAAUUAUCACCAAACAGGGGGCCAAUCCUAAUAACUAUCAACAUAUGCGACAACCUUCUACUGUUUCUACACCCAUUCCAGUUUCCAUUCAAUUUCUUAUCUGCCAACAAACGAAAGUACUUUCAAUCCAAUUUGUUGUUUGUGAAUUAAUUUUUUUUAAAAAAAUUAACCCUCAAUAUUGCAAAUUAUUUCAAUUUGGUUAAAAAUAAACCCUCAACACUGAUUAGGCAUUUUGAAACUAUAGGUACUAUAUUAGAACAAAUCUUAAAGUACAGGGGCCUUUCAUGCCAUUAUCCCUUUUUUUUAAAUUAGGACCAAAUUGAAAUAAUUUGCAAUACCAAGGGUUAUUUUUAAAAAAACUAUGAUUAAAUUGACACAAUAUAUAAAAGUUGAGGGCUAAAUUUAUUAUUUUUAAGCUGCCAACUCACCCUUCCAUUAAAUAGUUAAUGGCACUUAAUGGAAAAUAACCCAAAAAGCAAACCCAAUUAAUUGGGUGACCAAUUUAGAAAAAUUUAUAGUUGGGUGACCAAAAAGGAAAUUAGCUCAUAGCUAAGUGACCUAUGGUGUAGUUUACCCAUUAAUAUAUAAUUAAGUCUUAGAUCAAUUAACGAGUUACUGUUAUAAUUUGAAAGAUGUAGAUUCAAAUACGUCCAAAUCUAUAAUACUUUUUAGUUUAAAGAUCGAAGAGUUAUGGAUAAUUUUAAUAUUGUAAAAUGACAAGAUAAAAUAAAAAAUAUUUAGAUAAUUUUAACAUAUAUUUUUUUCAAAAAAACUAAUUCAAUACGCACCACGAUGAAAUAAAAAUUGAUAUAAGUAGAUAGAUAUGUUUAAGGUUUAAACUAUUUAUUCAAAUUUAAAUGUCAACUCGAAAUUUGAAAAGGUUUUACAAACACCUCGUUUAAAAUAUAAAUGUGUUUGUUUCAAUAUCUAAAAUUGAAAUAAGACAUAUUUUCAAUAUCUAAAAUUGAAAUAAGAUAUAUUUUCAGGUGCGAAUCUAGCGGGGUUGGUAGGCGUCUAACCUUUUAAGAUUUUUAAAAUUUUAAAUUAGUAAAAAUAAAAUUGAACUUUGGUCUUUGGCCCCAAAAAUAAUAAAAUUUUAAUUUAAUCAUUUAAAAAUUACAUAUUUAUUAUCGUAAAAAUUACAAUUUAAUUUCGGCUCCCUAAAAAAAUUUACUGGCUUCGCGCCAGCAUGUUUUCAAGUUUAUAAUAUGUAAUUUAAUUUAUUUCAUAUAUUAUUAUAGAAAAAUAAUUAAAUAUAUAUUAAGUUAUUUAUGUUAAAUAUUAAAUAUAAUAAUUAUAUUAAAAAAACAAAUAAUAUAUGCAUAGGCCCGAUCCAAACCGAUCCGGUGCCGGUCCAUCAAGUAAAGAAUCUAAAUACUUUCGCGCCUAAACCAACCAGAAAACAGCGCCAGAGAGAGGCAAAGCAGAAACGCCUGAAACCGCCGCUACAAACGCUGCUCAAGCCGCCAUCACCGUACCAGCACCAGCCAAACGUUAACGGAGCGUUUCCCGUUCUUUCUUCUCCUUAGAGAAGAGGAGCUAAUGGUAAUUUUAUUUUCUUUCAGCGCUUUCUUGUUGUCCACUUGUGUUGCUUGAUCUUCACAAUUUUUGAUGAAUUGUUUGUGAAGAUGCCUGAAAGAAUUUAGGGACUUAUACUUUCCGGUAUUCAAACUUUAUCAUUUAAUAGAUAUAAAUGUAGACAUAAAAUAAUCAAAACCAAUUGGAUGGCUUGAAAUUACUAGACAUAUUUAUUUUGCUAUUGAGUCCUUUUUUGCUUGCAGGAAGUUAAUCAACAGGCUAGAUGUAGAGAGUUGGCUAAAUCGUCCUCAUUUUAUAGUACAGUUUACUCUGAGGUCAUUUAAUCUUUUUUUUUCCCUCUAUAUUUAUUCUAAUGUCAACCAUUUUAUGGGUUUUGUUUGGUUUCUCUUGAUGAGUUAUUUUUAUUUGUACAGAUAGAAGAGGUUGGAUGGGAUCAUUUGGUGAGGGCGGGAGGAGAUCUAAGUUUCCUUAUUUUUCGUGUUUUGUAAGUACCCUUUUGAUUGUAUUGACAAUCCAUCUAAUAUGGGAAAGCUUUGGUUUUCGUUUGGAGCAUUAGAUUUUGUAGUAAACAGCUAGUGCAACUUCCAGGGUUAGUCACAUAAUCAUGAUAAUCCUUUGGUUUUCUGCAAACGAAUGGAAUCUGUAUAUUUUCUUAGGAUGGUGAUGAUAAUCUGGGUUAUGUAGCUAACCUGCAAUAUCCAGCUUGGUGCUAUCUUUAAUUGUUCUCACUGUAUCCAUUACUAGCUCUUUUUGUACUCCAUUCUUAUCAAUGUUAUAAUCAUGUACUUUUAUAAAGAUAUGGUAUUGAUACAGAAUUGGCUAUAUCUGAAAACUAAAGGCUUGAAUAUAUUUUCUGAAAAUUGAUAAACAGUUGAUAUUGGAGUUAUAAAAUCCUCAGUAUACCAUAUAUUUCUAUAUACCUGUUAAGAUGUUUCUAUUGUCGAACUUCGGUAUUGGUAUUGUAACCCUCUGAGUUUUGUUCUCCUUUUAUAUUUCAUGUUAUCCUCUUUGUUUCUAGUUGCUUAUCCUGUUAUCCUUCUUGUAUAUUUCGGUGCUAGAGAUAAGAAGGGAAGAGUGCAUGUUAUGGAAAUUCAGUUGGAUAAAGCUUAUCCUAGAGUUCCUCCAAUGGUUUCAGCGGUUUGUCUCCUAUCUUUUUGGUCUUAAUUCUUCCAAUGUAGUCCUACAGGUGUUUUAUCUUACUCUGCUUUGUUCUCAGGAUGUUCCCUAUAUCUUCAAUUUAAAAUGGUCAAUGAACUCGAGACUGAAAAACUUGGUACAACAGUUUGAGAAGGUAUUUGCUUCGACAUUUUUGAACCCAAUGUAGUUCCAUUCUGCUUCAGAACAUAUUUUUGGUGCCAUGGCAUGUUUAACUAUUGUCAGAACUUUGGUGUUUUCUCUUUGUAUCCAGCAUCUGGAGAAGCUUCAAGGAUUCUGGUCUACCUUGGACGAAAUUGACAGGUCUCUUCAGAUUGUUGAUUCAAAGCAAGCAUCUCGUGCCAUUCCGAGUCGCCAAAUCCACGUAGGUGAGUCAUUACUUCAUUCCGUCUUCUUUUAUGUACAUUAAAAUUUUCUUGCCCCCUCCUUUAUUACUGAACACAAGGUUUAACUAUUUGGUACUCAGGAAAUGAUUGCUUCAUCAUAUUGUUCAUCGAUAUCAAUGAUCCUAGAUCAUUACCAGAGUAAGAAUUCAUAUAAAAUUAUAUUAAAAGCUGCUAGCAAGUUGGUUUUGUUCAGCAUGAAUAACGAAUAUUUAAGUGUUUGUAGGUGUCGUUUUAUGGGUUUAGGUAAUACUGUGAACUCCUUGAGAAAGACAUGGAAAAGAAAUGUUGAUAAAUGGUAUGCCCUUGAGUCUCAUCUUAAAUUUUUAACUUUUGCACUAGUGAAGUGAACGUGUGGUUAACAGUGGAGGAAGAAAAUUACCGAGUUGCGUAAUUUUCUGCAUGCAAUCUGUUAAUUCCUUCUCUAGUAACAGAGAAUGCCAGAAAUUGGAGCCUUGAAGUCUUCCAUCUAAUUUAAGAGGAUAGAAGCUUAUAACAUCGUGUUGUAUAAGGGAUAGGUUUCAUUCCAUUGUACUAACUUUACAUAGUCUGAUUAAUUGUUUAGGGAGAGGGACAAAGCCUUUUUAGAAAAUCUUGAGUGUCUUUUGAACACCCAAUUGCCAAGGCUUGCUGAUGAAGAGACCAACAAUCAUCUAGAUGAAUGUGGAAUCUGUUAUGCUCAAUAUCUCCCCAUUGGUAAUGCUUCACAUGCUUUAGAUGUCUCUGAACUAUUGUUUUGAGACUUAAUUCUCAAAUGUUCCUGUAGGUGAUGAGCUUGGACCUCGGACUGGAAGUGCAACUGAUUACACUUGUGAGAAUAACAGUUGUAGUAAGGCUUUCCACAGCGUGUGCCUAGUCGACUGGUUGAGGUCGAUCACGACAACAAGGCAGUAAGUGGAGCUCUUAGUGUACUUGUAUCUUUUAAACUACUUCGUGUCGGAGUAUAAUUUUAUUCCUGUCCACUAUGUGUUGUGAUCAAUUCAAAAUUAAUUGCUUGCGGAAUUUCCCGCUUUUGGCAUUGGGCUACCUGUCUACCUGAAUGAUCAAACCUGCAAACAAGUUGGGUCACGUGAUACUCGUCUAUAUCUCCUCCUUUAUAUCUUAUUGAUACACCUAGUAGCCUUUAGUAGAGGUAGAAUCGACCGUUACUGGCCUCAUAUUUUUCAGUUGCGACUAGGUAUGGUAACACUAUUUCUGGAGUCUGAUCAAGAGGGACCUACAUGAAAGUUGAAGGGGCUAUGUUUUUCCUAGCUUUUAAAGGCACUAGUACAUUAUCCAAAACGUGGUCCAAUAAAUUGUCGGAGCUACUUUUGUCCGUUAGAUUAAAUGGGGUGUUAAGGUUUGCUAAGAUAGUGAUAUAGUGCCUUUUUCUCUUUUGUGUUUGUCGUUUGGCAAAUGACCCUUCAAGUUACAUGAUUCAUGGUACUGACUUUUCAUUCAUAGUAAACCGGGUUGCCUUUGAAUAUGCCUUAUUGCUUGUACAUACCCCACAUUCAAAUUAGCUUUGAUUAUUUGCAAUUAGUUUAUGAAACGAUAUUAGCACAAACCUAUCUUCAAUUUCGACCGUGGCAACUUGGUUGCUUGAUUUAUGGUUGUGAAUGCUUGUGUUGCAGGUCAUUCAAUGUUCUGUUUGGAAAUUGUCCUUAUUGCUCAGAGCCAAUUGCAGUGAAAAUCAAUGCCACAAAGAAUUAAAGAUCUUAUAAGUCAUAAUCUAUGAUCCUAAGCUGAUUCAUCCUGUCCCGGAGAACCCUUUCACGAGCAGAAGAGGCGUGUGAAAUUCCAUUACUGCCAAAGCAGCAAAACUCUGAAGAUUAAAGCUUCUCUUGUCCAUGCAGGUACCUAAAACCAAUUCCGUUUUGCUGAAAUAAGAAGCAUUCAAUGUAGGUUUGUGCCUACUAGCACUGUACUAUUACCUUAUGACCAACAAUGAUUUGUGGCAUUCCCUUCUUUAUGUAUUGUCCUGACUUAUCUAAGGCAUUAUUUACUUUGAUCAAAAGUGUUUCACUUGAUUGGUAGUCUUUCCUUGAAUAUUGGAUUCUUUGUCCCAACACAUUCAUUUCUUUGCAACUGGUAUGUCAUAUUCCAACAAUAUGUUACCUCUAUUAAAUGACUGCUUUUAGCUGGAAUUCAAGCAUGUUUUGUUUCACUCAUUAUUCCAACAUAUUGGAUGCAAUGACAGAACACUCGGUUCAAAUUACUAAAUAAUUCACACUUGGGACUUCUUGCUUGGGAAUUUAUUCAUGUUUAAAUAUGGACUAAUGAGAAAGGAGUUGUGGAAGAUAUUGUAGCUUUGCUGCUGCUUCAAAGGAUGGCCCUUCCUCUCUUAGCUUUAAUGGUGUUUGCCUCCAGAAGGCAAUCAAUUGGGGGUCAUAUGAGAAUUUAUGCCUAGUGGGGCCCUAAACUGUAAAAAUCCUAGUAAAUAACCCUAGACUGCCAAGUUGUUUAUUUCCUUGAGGAUGUGAGCUGUUAUCAUGAAUUAUAAUUUAUAACCCCUUUGUUGUGCUCAAUGACCAAAAAGGUGGGUAUCUAAAAUUCUUUUCUUUAUCCCCAUUAUUUUAUUCUUUACUAAAUUAUCUGUUAGAAUUAAGUGACCCAAAUAUUUAUUUAAAUAAAAUACAUUGGUAAAAUAAAAUAAAAGUAAAAUUCAUAUAGAACUACACUUAUUUUAUUUUAUUUUAGAAUAAGGUUUUUUAAACGUUAUUAAGCUCGAUCUAUUUGAUAUUGAUUAGAAUAAGAUGUUUCAAUCUUACUACACUCUUAUUAGAAUAUGGUUUUAUAAGCCUAGAAAUAGACAUAGUCUACUCCUCUUGUAAUCAUUCGAAUUUGGCAUAGUGAAUUAUCUUCUCCUUUGCCCGUGGUUUUUUUCUCGAAAGGGUUUCCACGUAAAACUUAUGUGUUCUUUAUUUUUCUCUCUUUUUCAUUGCGAUACAUUGUCAUUACCGAUGUUCUAUUUUUAACAAAUUGGUAUCCUAGCUUCCAGGUUGUUCAUCUCAAUCACGGUAAUGGCGUCUUUGAAGAAUGAAAUUCUGCUGUUGGAUCGCAACAACAGAUUUGCGUUGUGGCAGAUAAAGAUGCAGGCAGUUCUUGCACAGAUGAACUUAGAGGAAGCCCUGCUAGGGGUAGAUAAGAUGCCUUCAACAUUGAUGAAGGAAGAGAAGAAGCGCAAGGAUCGAAAUGCGUUAACACAGUUACAUCUGCAUUUGUCUAACAAAAUUUUACAGGAUGUGAUGAAGGAGAAGACUGCCGCUAGAUUAUGGAAGAGGUUGGAACAAAUAUGUAUGUCGAAAACUCUAACUAGCAAGCUGCAUAUGAAGCAGCGUCUUUAUGCUAAUCGUUUGGAGGAAGGUGUGCCUGUGCACAAACACUUAACAGUGUUUAAAGAAAUUCUCUCAAACUUGGAGGCGAUGAAGGUUCAGUAUAAUAAGGAAGAUCUAGUGUUGGUUCUACUUUGUUCGUUGCCUCCAUCUUAUUCAACCUUUAGAGAUACGAUUUUAUAUAGUCGCGAGUCUCUCAGAGUUGAUGAGGUUUAUAAUUCUUUAACCUCGUAUGAUAAGAUGAAAUAUCUUGUGGUUAAAAUCGACUCUUAGGGAGAGAGUCUCAUUGUUCGUGUGAGACAAGAUCAGAAUGCUAAUUAUGAUCGUGGAAGAGUUAACACAGGAACGGUAAUGACCCAAAAUUCACAAGCACAAAAAAAAUGAGUUAUAGGGCCUUCAUAUUAAUAAACUGAGUUCGUAAACAAUUAUUCGAGUAAUCAUGAGUCUAGUUGAGUAUUUAAUUAGGUUCAAAUUGGGUGAAUUUAACUUAGUUAAUAAAUAUUAGGAAAAAUGACUGAAUUGAAUAAGGUGUGAAAGUCUAAUUAUAGAUUAAAAGAAGAUAAGGGGACUAAAUAGGCAAUUAAGCCUGUUCUAAUGAAUGAGACGACAAAGCAUAAAAAUCUUUGAUUUUUAUGAUUGUUUAAUUAUAAAAUAUAUUAUUAUUGUUAUUAUUUUAUUAUAUUAUAAAUUAAAUUGAUUAUAUUAUUAUAUUAUGAAAUAAAUUAAGAAAAGACAAGUGUAAGGUAAAAAUAAAAUACAAGUGUAUUAAUUCAAAUGAGUACAUUUGUAUUAUAUAUAUAAUUAGUAAAAAUAUAUUUUAUUAUUUAUUAUUAAUUAGUAAAAUAUUUUUAUAUGAUAAAUAAAUUGAAAUUAUGACAAGUGGAUGGUGAUGAUAAAAUACAAAUUUAAAAUAUAUAUAUGAACAUUUGUAAUAUUUAUAUUUGUUAUUAAAUAGAUAUAAUAAUAAUAAUAAUUAUUAUUAUUAUUAUUAUUAUUGUUAUUAUUAUUUAAUUGAUAUUAUAUUAUUAGAUUAAUGAACAAAUUAAUAAAUUGACAAAUGUAUAGUGAUGGUAAAGUACAAGUGUAAUAAAUCAUAUACAUACAAUUGUAAAAUACAUAUUUAUUUACUUAAUAUUUAAGAAAUAAUAAUUAUUAAACUAAAGUAAAAUAAAAGCAUAAAAAGAAACAAAAUAGAAACGAAACAAGGAGAAAAAAGAAAGAAAAGAAAAAGGAAAAGAAAGAAACGAGAAAUAGGGUUUUUAAAGCUUGGGGUUUAAUUUGGUAAGUCAAUUUAGUCCAUUUUCUUGUAAUUUUGAUGUUUUUGGAGUCCUAGAGUUGAAUAUUAUUGAAUUUACGUUGAAAUUUUAAAAAUUAGUAGAUUUUUUAGUAGGGUUUAUGUUGAAUAAAUGAUUGAAUUAGGGGUUUAUUUGAUGGAAUUAUUGAUUAGAAUUGAUUUAAGGAUUAAAUUGUAAACUAGGCUAUAAGUUUUGUGUUGUAGGGACUAAAUUGAAAGAAAUUCAAAAUUAUGAUGAAAAUUUGAUAGUUAAAUUUAAGUUUAUAUGGAAUUUGGACAGAAAUAAAAUAUAAAUUGUAAUGGGAAAAUAGAUGAAUUUAGUUAGGACUAAAAUUGGAAUUUAAGUGAAAGUUAAAUAGAAAUUUAGUAUUUAAUGUAAAUUAGUAAUAUAUUAAUGAUUGUAAAUUAUUUUAAUUUCCGUAGUUAACAAAGAACCCGAGACAUCAACACCGAAAGGAAAGGAAAGGAAAAAGUUAUCGAUGAGUAAUCGCGAAAUUCGGGUUUGUAUUACUAUAAUUCAAGUUAUUCAUUAUUAAAUAUUAAUAUUAAUUUAUUUAAUUUAUGGUAAGUAAAUAUUGAGGUAAGUAACUUUAUUGAAUUGAAUUUAGAAUUGAAUUGAAUUUUGAUUAGUGAAUGAAAAAGUGAAUUUGAUAUUGAAAGUAAAUUUUGAAAUGAAAGUGAACUUGAAUUGAGAAUUGGAAACCCUAUUAACUAGUCGGGCCGAAUCGGAUAUGAUUGGCUUGCUAUAGGAUUGGAAGAGUUCAGGGAUACUUCGACCUCAAGUCGAUGAGACACUGGGUGUCACUAUUUUACUUCGGAUAGAUUCGAUGAGAUACUGGGUAUCACUUUACUUCGGCUAGGUUGAUGGGACACUGGGUGUCAACUUUGCUUCGAACUAUCCAAUGGGGCACUGGGUGCCAAUCUGGUGUGUUUGGUUGGAUCCGUGUAUCCGCUAAAGUCCGAGUCUGUUAAUAGGGGUAAUUAAUUGAAAAGUUAAAUCGAAUGAAAUGAAUCAGUUGAACCAUUGAAAAGAAACGUGAUUGUGGGAUAUAAUUUAAAAAUGUGAAUUGAAUGUGAAAAUGUGAAUAGAAAGCAUGAACUAAAUGUUCAUGAGAAAAAUAAUGGCUUAAUGUGAUAGUAUAUGAUAUUAACUAAUGAAAGCCAAAUUGAAUUGUACAUAUUGAGAAAUGAAAGUUAAAUAUGAAUUCGUUUGGUAAAUUUUUUAAAAUUAAUUGAUUUAAUUUACUCGGUUAUUUUAUUAUAAUUUGAAUUAUAGUAAUACCACUGAGUAUGAUAUACUCAGCAAACGGUUGUUUCCGUGCGUAGGUUAGUAGAAAUUAAGGUUCCGGCUCAGCAUCUAGAGCGAUCUCGACUCCAGUGCAAAAUUUAGUGAUAUAAUCUUUCUUUUGGUAAAGUGGCAUGUACUUAGGUGUUAUAUUGGUUACUUAAAAGUGUCUUAUGCUUUUGGUUAUAAAUGAUACUAAAAUAAUAUUUUGAUACUUGGUGUAAUGAAAUGGAAAUAGAAUUAUCAUAACAUAUUUGAUAUAUUUGGUAACAAGUUGAAAUAGAAUGAAUGAAGUUUAUUAAUUUAAAUAAUAUAUGCGAAUAUUUAUUUAGUAAAUUACUAAGUUGAUGUUUAAGAUAUGUUUAAGUGUAUUUGAAAAUGAAAUUGUAUGGAUUGUGAUAUUGGUUUUGAAUUGGUUGCGGUUUGAAAUUGCAGGGAAGGUUAAAUAUUUAUAAAGGGGUUAUAUUGAGUUUUUUUUAGAAACAAAAAAAAAUGAAGUCAAUUAGUAAUAAAAAAUAUUUAUAUGAAAUUAUGAUUAUAUUAUAAUAUGUUUGUUAUUUGUUUAAGAAUUAUUUGUAGAUUGUCUGAUAUGUCCGGUAAUGCCUCGUAACCCUGUUCUAGCGACGGUUUAGGGUUAGGGGGUGUUACAAGAACAGAAUCCUCGCUGUAAAUCUAAAGGUAGAUCGAAGUCUUCAAACAAAGGUAUAACUUGUAACUUUUGCAAGAAGAAAUGACACAUUAAAUCUGAGUGUUAUAAGCUACAGAAUAAGAUCAAAAGGGAGGCUACGAAUGAAAAUGGAAAACAACCAGAAAAUUUCGAAAAAGCUGAUGUUGUAGAAGACUACAGCGAUGGUGAACUUCUAGUCGCUUCUGUCAACAAUUCUAAAGUGAGCAAAGAGUGAAUCAUUGAUUCGGGUUGCACCUUCCACAUGAGUCUCAAUCGGGAUUGGUUUACAACUUAUGAAACAGUGUUUGAAGGUGUUGUUUUGAUGGGAAAUAAUGCUUUAUGUAGAAUCAUAGGUGUUGGAACAAUUAAAGUUAAGAUGUUUGAUGGAGUUGUCAGAACACUUAGUGGCGUACGAAAUGUUCCAGAAUUAAAGAGAAAUUUAAUUUUGUUGAGUACUCUUGAUUCAAAAGGGUACAAAUACACAGCUGAAAGUGGGGUUUUAAAGAUUUCCAAAGGUUCUCUCAUUGUGAUGAAAGGGUAGAGAAAGACUAUCAAGUUAUAUGUUUUGGAAGGUUCUAUUGUUACUGGUGAUACAGCUUUCGCAUCCUCUUCCUUAUUAAAUGAUGAUGAUAUUACUAAAUUUUGGCAUAUGCGCCUAAGGCAAAUGAGUGAGAAUGGCAUGACAGAAUUGAGCAAAAGAAGACUUCUUGAUGGGCAAGGAAUUUGCAAACUGAAGUUCUGUGAGCACUGCGUUUUUGGGAAGCAAAAGAGAGUUUGAUUCACCAGAGGAAUCCAUAACACGAAGGGAACGUUGGAGUAUAUUCAUUAUUAUCUGUGAGGGCCAUCCAGAGUGCCUUCGAGAGGUGAAGCUAAUUAUAUGCUAACUUUUAUUGAUAAUUUUUCCAAAAAAAUUGAGCGUUCUUCUUGAAGCAGAAAAGCGAUGUAUUUUUCGCAUUUAAGUCUUGGAAAAUUAUGAUUGAAAAACAGACGGGAAAACAAAUAAAAUACUUCUGUAUUGACAAUGGCUUAGAGUUCUGUUCUGAUGAGUUUAAUAAACUGUGCAAGUCAGAAGGGAUUGUAAGACAUUUGACAGUUUGUUAUACUCCACAGCAAAAUAGCGUUACAGAACGAAUGAACAGAACGAUCAUGAAGAAGGUUCGAUGUAUGUUGUCAAAUGCCAACUUACCAAAGUCAUUUUGGACCGAAACAACCUUUACUGCAUGUUUUUUGAUUAACCAAUUUUCAUCCAUUGCCAUUGAGAAAAAGACUCCACAAGAGGUAUGGUAUGGUAAUUCUGUUGACUAUUCUGAUUUAAAGAUCUUUAGGUGUCCUGCGUAUACUUAUGUUGAUAAUGGAAAAUUGGAAACGAGAUCCAUUAAAUGUGUUUUUCUUUGUUAUAAAGCUGGUGUAAAAGGGUAUAAGUUAUGGUGUCCUGAAAAUAGAAAAGGUGUGAUUAUCAGAGAUGUUUUUGAUGAAACUGCUAUGCUACCUAACUUAUCUCUUAAAGACUCUUCUAAUAAAGAAAAUCAAAAGCAGGUAGAGCAUCAGAUUAAUCCAAAAUCUACAAUAGAGUCCACUCCUCAAGCCAGUACAAAAAUUUAAAAUAGAGUUGAUGCUUCACCACAAUACUCUAUCACCAAAAAUAGAACUAGAAGAGAAAUUAAACCUCCAAAGAAGUAUAUUGAGGUUGAUCUAGUUGCUUAUGCUUUAAAUGUGGCUGAAGAUAUAGAUGGAAACCAAGAGCCAUCUAAUUAUUCUGAUGCGGUUAGUUGUGAAGACUCAGAAAAAUAGAUGUUUGCUAUGUAAGAGGAAAUUGAAUCACUCCACAAAAAUAAAACAUGAGAUCUUGUGAAACUUCCUAAAGGUAAAAAGGUUGUUCGUUGUAAAUGAGUGUUUAAAAAGAAAGAAGAGACUCUAGGAGUUGAAGAACCCAGAUAUAAAGCAAGGCUUGUUGCAAAGGGUUAUAGUCAAAUUCCAGGAGUGGAUUUCACAGAUGUGUUCUCCUCAGUUGUGAAGCAUAGUUCGAUUCGAGCUUUGCUUGGAAUUGUGGACAUGCAUGAUUUGGAGCUUGAGCAGUUAGAUGUAAAAACUGCAUUUUUGCAUGGAGAACUUGAGGAUGAUAUUUACAUGCAACAACCAAAUGGUUUUACAGUCUCAGAAAAAGAAGACUAUGUUUGCUUGUUGAAGAAGUCCCUUUACGGUUUGAAAUAGUAACCAAGACAGUGGUACAAGAGGUUUGAAUCCUUUAUAACUUCUCAUGAUUUCAAAAGAAGUAGCUUUGAUAGUUGUGUUUACUUUAAGAAAAACAGUAAUGGUUCUUUUGUGUAUCUACUCCUUUAUGUUGAUGAUAUGUUGAUAGCAGCGAAAGAUAAAGAAGAGAUAAGAAAGGUCAAAGCCCAACUAAGUGAAGAAUUUGAGAUGAAAGAUUUAGGACCAGCAAAGAAGAUACUUGGUAUGGAGAUUCUCAGAGAUAGAAAAAUAAGUAAAUUGUACCUAAGUCAGAAUGGGUACAUUGAGAAAGUUCUUUGCAGAUUCGAUAUGCAGAAUACUAAGCCUGUUAGUACUCCUUUAGCAGCCCAUUUCAGACUUUCAUUGGCUUUGUCUCCAUAAUCAGAUAAUGAGAUUGAGUACAUGUCACAUGUUCCAUACUCUAGUGCAGUGGGAUCUCUCAUGUAUGCUAUGGUUUGUUCACGUCCAGAUUUAUCAUAUGCAGUCAGUACAGUUAGCAGAUACAUGGCAAAUUCCGGUAAAGAACAUUGGAAAACAGUUCAGUGGAUUUUAAGAUACUUACGAGGUACUACUGAUGUUUGCUUACAAUUUGGAAGAACUAAAGAUAGAGUCAUUGGGUAUGUUGAUAUUGAUUUUGCUAAAAACCUUGACAGAAGAAGAUUUCUCACAGGUUAUGUCUUUACAAUAGGAGGUUGUACAAUCAGUUGGAAAGCUACUUUGCAAACUACAGUUGCUUUGUCUACCACUGAAGUUGAGUACAUGGCGAUUACUGAGGCUUGUAAAAAAGUCAUUUGGUUGAAGGGACUCUUUAGUGAACUCAAUGAAGACCUUCAAAUUAGUACAGUAUUUUGUGACAGUCAGAGUGUUAUCUUCCUUACAAAAGAUCAAUUGUUUUAUAAGAGAACAAAACACGUUGAUGUUCGGUAUCAUUUUGUUCGUGAUAUUAUUGCCCGUGGUGAUAUUGUUGUGAGCAAAAUUAGUACUCAUAAAAAUCUUGUAGAUAUGAUGACUAAGUCACUUCCUAUAACCAAGUUUGAGCAUUGCUUAGACUUGGUUGGUGUUCAUUGUUGAAAUUAAACCCUUAAGAAGGGGUUUUAUGGAAGAGGUGGAGAACUUGUUCGUUGAGAGUUCGCGAUGAAGAACUUGUUCAUUGAGAAUUCGUGUCAAGGUGGAGAUUGUUAGAAUUAAGUGACCCGAAUUCUUAUUUAAAUAAAAUACAUUGGUAAAAUAAAAUAAAAGUAAAAUCCAUAUAGAACUACACUUCUUUUAUUUUAUUUUAGAAUAAGGUUUUUUAAACAUUAUUAAGCUCCAUCUAUUUGAUAUUGAUUAGAAUAAGGUGUUUCAAUCUUACUACACUCCUAUUAGAAUAUGGUUUUAUGAGCCUAUAAAUAGGCAUAGUCUACUCUUCUUAUAAUCAUUCGAAUUCGACAUAGUGAAUUAUCUUCUCCUCUGCCCGUGAUGCAGUGUGUUUAGCUUACUUUUUAUUUCACGCUAUAGUAUCCUAAUUGAUUUCGAACAAAAAAAAUGCUAUUAGAAGUGAAGGAAGCAAGAAGUAUCCCUUCACACUGGGACCAUUAUGAGCUUUUUAUGCACUUCGGGGACGACCAAAUGAGCCAAAUUCUAGCCAACCAUUUAUAGUGAAUAACAGGAAAAACCAAAACAAAAGGGGACCAUUCUGAAAAUCAAUUGAAAGCCAAUUACUUCAAACACUAAUUUUGAAUUUCUAACAUUCACUCAUUUCCUUGUUUUCAUCAACCCGUAAAAUGAAGCAGCAAGUAGUUUUUGUCUUAGGCCUGCAAACUCUGAAUUGGAUAAUACAAUAAUAAUAAUAAAAUACAAGUUUUAAAAUUAAAUAUUUGCACACACGAUCACAAUUUAUUUCCCUUCAUAACCCCAAUUUUUGCAUGGCCCUCUUAUAGCAUAUACAUAUAGCUAUUAUGGUACAAAGGGGGGCAUAUACAUCAAAGUAUAUAUGACAUGAAACAUAUUGGUAUAUCAAAUAUUCUGGACAGUUCUGUUGGAUAUGGAAUAAUGGGAACUCUUGAUAGUACUUCAUAUACCUGCCAUGCAUUCCGGUGGGGUGACCGGGUACCGAGACUUGUCGGUGCAGUAAUCGUAGAUCAUGUGGUUCAUCCGAACCCAUCUGUAUCUCCUAGCUUCCAUGGCAUUAAGAGCUUGAUAAGCAGUACCUUCCCACCAGUUCCUAGGGUUACUAGCACAAUUUGCUGGCCCUGGAACUGGACACCCUUCAAUGUCAAAAUCCUUGUAAUAAGCCAAAAAUGGUGCUUUGCUCCAAUCAAUUUUCUCAAGUCCUCCCCUUGUUGCCCAAUCAUCAGCUUCCCAUAGUGUUGAAUAUACCCCCAUAGGUUGAAAUUUUGGGUAUGGGAUGUUUUUUGCUUCAUUGUUCUUGUAUACUCUUAUUGGCACUUCAUCUACAUAAAACCUGUUAAGAAAAAGCACCCAAAUGGUCAAAUUUUAAUGUCAUAUAUGCUUAUUAAUGUCACAUUUAUAGUUAGAUACUGGACUUACACAAUAUGAUGAUGGUUCCACAUAAUUGCGUAUGUAUGGAAAUCAGCAGCUGGAUCAAACCAGAGGUUAACCCUUUGUUCUCUAUCACCUUUACCAUGAGCAUAUAUGUUGGUUUGGACCGUGUAUGGUUGCCCGGUUCGGUUUCCCAAGAACUCGAAAUCUAGCUCGUCUCUUACGGUGUCCGUAUCAGAAUUCAUCUGCAAUACCAGAUUACAAUGAAAAACAGAUUAAAGGUUAAAGGUUAUGUCGGUAGGUAGCUUUACGUACGUAAAAGGCGGUGACGGUUCCGGCCGAGUCACCGGGGAUAAGCUUGAUCUUCAUGCUGACACGUCCAAACAAAUACCGUCUUUUGGAAGCAAAUCCACAGCCUAUAAAACAAAAUGAAUUAACAACACAUUAUCGAAGGGUUAACACAUUUAAUCAUUGAUUAUUAUUUUUAAAAAGUUAAACCUGAAUUUUGGUCUAGAAUAAGUUGAAUGGCCCUCCCCCCAUCGAUUUGCUUGAUAUGGGAAUCGGACCAAGUGAUUCUAAAAUCUUCGAGGAAAGUGGCGGGUCGUCCCGAAACCGAGAUCGAACAUGCAAGGAAACAAGAGAAGAUGAAAAGAAAAGCACUGCUUAGAGUUGCCAUUGUCAUCAAUGUUUUGAACUUAGAAGAUUAAAUUGUGGUGAAUAUGUGUAUAUGUGUAUGUAUAUAUAUAUAUAUAGGUGGGAGAGAUUAAGGUUGAUGUAGACCGCUGCAUUGAAAUAGAAAGUGCCAUUCUUAAGUUUAGCUUUCGAUACAGCUAAUGGCAAGCCGUCUUUAGGCCCUACAUACCCCCCAACUGUGCUCUAAUUUUGCCCUUUGGGAACCUAAUCUUAAUGCUUCCACUUCAUAACUUUCUCUUUGUUUUUGUUUUCAUUCUCCAACCUAACAAGAAAAAGGGAUCACAGAUAUUGAAAUUUUACAAUUGAAUUGAUCGUAUAUACAUUGUUUGUCAUGUUCCGUCAUCACAUGAAAAUUUGAUUAAUUUUAUAUAUGGGUGGAUAAUUUUCUAUCUCAUGAAAUUGAUAUGGUAUGAAGGUGGUGUAGAAAAGGAUUGAAGACCAAUGAGGUGUGCCUAAAAAUUUGGGUCAAAUAGGGUUUGGACUUAAGUUCACAAAGGCAGUCUCAUUCAAUAUUGCUUAUCUAAUAUAUCUGUGAACAGCCUAGAUUGAUAUUGAACGGCCGGUUGGCCGGAUCCACCGAGUUACAUGCCCCACCAUUAAGUUUUUUGGGGUCUAAUUGGUCAAAUUCCAUAGGCCUGGAAACCAAUCAGUAUAUCAAUUUAGAUAAAAGGGUUAGAUCGAUUUUAGAGCGAAGCACUUAAAACUAAAUUUAAACCGUAAACCGGUUGAACUGUUUUUUAAUGUUUUUAGUCCAAAUUAAUGGUCCAAAUCGAAAAAAAAAUCUCAACUGGCAAAAUCCAAAUACGUAAAUAUAUCAACCCAACCCACCCGAAUACUUAAAAAAAUUAUUAUUAUUAAGAAAAAAAAAGAGAGGAGAAAAACCAAUAUAAAUCGAAGUGUCAUUAUUGUUAUUUAUUUGUGUUUAUACAAUUUUGUUUUUAAUUUUGUCAAAUUUUUACUUAUUUUCCAAAUUUUCUUUAAUUUUGGACCAAUCGAACUAAAAUUUGGUGAUCUGAUUAGUUCGAUCACCAAUCCAAUUCCGAAAACAUUGGGGGUAGGGGUUGCCUUAUUUUCAUAUUGAUAUAGUAGACAUCGAUAAAAAUAAGAAAAAUAAGAACACAUGAAUUUCUUCAAUAAGUGACGGGAUUCGGGUCACACAAUCUCUAACACAUAUUAACAUGGCUAGCUCUCCUAGAAAAACUUUUAAAUGUUAAUCGAAAACUUUCCCAACUCGAAUAAAAAAAUCUUAAAUCCAAAAUGACUCAAAUCCUAAUUAUUACCUAAACUUAAUUCAAAAAUUCACUAACAAACCCGAAUAACUUCAUCUUACAAAUAAUCCAAACCCAAAUUAAUAUCAAACCUAAAACCACUCAAAAGUCAUGUUGAAAAUUGGAUCAAAUUCCAUUCCCAUCUUUUUCUACCACUUGACAAUUGUUGUGACAAGGAAUAAUUUCAAACAAAAGUAUUAUCCUAUUUUACAUCAAUUGAAGUUAAAACACAGAUAGUGAAAGACUGAGAUAUCUGAAAAUUAUACGACAGAAAGGGAUCAUUUCUUUCACCAGUUGCAUAACUGACGUACAAAGAUCCUCGGGAUUAAAGUUCAACCAAUGUUGGCUGCCAAACCUCAAUUAUUUUAAAACUUUGACCUCAAAGUCAAUAUAAAAAAAUAAUUCUAAAAAUAUGUAGUCCUUAAAUGAUUAAAUAUGCAAAUUUCCUUGUCCAAAUAAAAUUUUUAAUUUCUCCUCACAAAUUAUGAUUAAUUUAUAAUAAAAAAUAAAAAUUGUGGAUCAUGAUUUCCUCUCUCAACUAUAUAUCUCCAGGAUCCAAAUUUGAGUUCUUUUCAUAAGAGCGAAUACGGUUUACCACUGCACUCAACAUUUUUAAAAAAGAAUUAUGUAUAGGAGGAGGCAAAUUCUCUUAUAUCCUGUAUGUUAGUAUUGAGUUGCGGAUUUGCUGUGUUUCGAGUUGCAACUAAUGAUAUAAUUGAAAUUGAAAAAGAAAAGGGUUAAAAUAUGUCAUAGGUUCCUGUGCUUUUUAAUUUUAGGAAUUUAGUUUCUCUGCUUUCUAGAUUUCAAAAUUCAAGUCAAAUUAUUAAUUAUGUUAAUUUUUUGGGGUUGAAUUUGUUGGUGUGACAUUUUGAAAUUAGAAAAAAAAACCUUACUUGGUAGUAAUGUAACUAAAAUAAUGACGUUGUAAUGAACCUGAAUUUAACAAAAUAAUCUUAAUAGUGCUAACAAUUGGACCUAAUUUUUUACAUCUAAAAAGUAGGGGGAUUAAAUUCCAAAUUUCUGAAGAGUUUAGAGACUUAUAAUAUAUUUUAUCCAAAAAUUAGUUGUAGAGUUCAAAACCCCUUCCUACAUCUAUAUGGUCUUACUCGAAGAGUGAUUCAAAAUAAUUCAACAAUACAAGAGAUGAUUUAAGCUCAACUUACUCAACUUGUUGUUGCCUACAUGCAUAUAUAUAUAUAUAUAUAUAUAUAUAUAUAUAUUUGGGGUUAAAUCACUUUUUAGGAUCAAAACAUGGUAACAUUUUUUAUAUUGGGGUUUGAAUUUUUUUUCAAGUUAGGUCAUGAACUUAGCAAUUAUUCUUCCAUUGGGAACUAAACUUUUUUUUAUUCAAGAUAGAUCCUGAAUUAACAAUUUUUCCAAUAUUAGGGUUGAAUUUUUUUUUCCAAAUUAGUCUUUAAAAACCCUAAAAGUUCAGGUCAAGCCUCGAUGUGAGAAUAAUUGUCAAGUUCUUGGACUAACUUGAAAAAAAAUUCAAGCCCCAAUUUGAGAACAAUUGCCUAGUCUAGACCCCAAUGUGAGAACAGUUGUCAAGUUCAAAGUCUAACUUGAACCAAAAAAAAAAAUUUAUACUCCAGUGUAGAAAAAGUUACCAAGUUCAAAUCCCAAAUAAUAAUUUAACACUAUAUUUUAUAUUGAUAAAACAUAAAAAAAUAUCUUAAUUAAAUUAUAAAUAAAAUUAAUCAUAUAAUUAACUCUCAACAUUUAAUAUUAAGAUCCGUAAUUAAUUAUUUUUCCCUAAUGAUGAGAAACUAAUUUAACUUUUAUAUUUGAACUAAUAUACCGAUUAAUUUAACUUUCAUUCAAUUUAACCGAUCGAUCCAGUCCUAUUAAAUAACAUCGGUGAAAAUGAUGGCAAAUAUUUUAUGGGGAUUGGGACAUGUGGAUGCAUGCAUGGUAUGGCAUAUAAGUGAUUGCUGGGAUAAGCUAAUAAAUGGGGUUUUUUACUAAAUUAUUAUAAAAAAAUAAAAAAAUAAACAAAAUAUUAUAACUUUUUUUUUAUUUACCAAAAUAUUAUAAAUUUUUUUAAUUUACCAAAAUAUACCAAAAAAAAACUUGCAAAAAAAAACCUGUGGCGGCACCAAUGGUGCCAAAGCACUAAAAUGUAUUUGCAGUUUCAAGGACCUGACAUGCAAAUUUACCAUUUUAAAAUUUGAAAGUGAAUUGCCGCUGUGCGUGUGGGGCGCACUAAAAUUGAAAUGUGGCUAAUUGCCUUCUAAGCCCUCCUUAUUUUAAUUAAGUAAUAAACUUUAAUUAGUUAAGUGAUAAUUAAGAUACUUAGAAUUCUAAUUAAGUAAUAACUCUAUUUUAAUUUAAUAAACUAUUCUCAUUUAAUAAACUCUAAUUUAAUAAACUCUAUUUUGGUAGUUUGAUGAGAAUAGUUUAUUAAAUUAAAAUAGAGUUAUUAAGUAAUUUGAUGAGAAUAAUUUAUUAAAUUAAAAUAGAGUUAUUUCUUAAUUAGAAUUCUAAGUAUCUUAAUUAUCACUUAACUAAUAUUAGAUUUAAUUAAAAAAUUAACAGAAAUACCAGGCAUGCCUUAUUGAAAAACCAGAAGUAAUAAUAAAACUGAUCACCCAUAAAUGUAACCCAAAUAGAAAAAAUAAAUUAUAAUUAUAAACUAUUCUCAUCAAAUUUAGUAAAUUUUUUAAAUAAACUAUUCUCAUCAAAUUACCAAAAUAAUACAUAAAAUGCGAAUUAGUUUAUACUUUUUUAAAUAGCUUUACUUUAGGUAAAAUAUAUUUACUUUAAUAAUAAAAUAAAGGGAUUUUAUGAGUAAAAGUCAUAGAUUAAGAGCUUAUUUAACUACAAAAAUAGGUUGAGGGCUUGUUUAUUAAAUAAAAAAGUGAGUUAAAGGGGAAUAAAAAGAAAAUAAUAAAUAAGGAGGACUUAGAAGGCAAUUAGCCACAUUUCAAUUUUAGUGCACCCCACACGCACAGUGCAGCAAUUCACUUUCAAAAUUGAAAAUGGUAAAUUUGCAUGUCAGGUCUUUAAAACUGCAAAUAGUUGCAUUUUAGUCCUUUAGCACCAUUGGUGCCACCAAUCUCUUUGGCACCUUUGGUGCCGCCACAGGUUUUCUUUUUGCAAGUUUUUUUUGGUAUAUUUUGGUUAAUAAAAAAAUUUAUAAUAUUUUGAUAAAUAAAAAAAAGUUAUAAUAUUUUGGUUAUUUUUUAUUUUUUUAUAAUAAUUUAGUAAAAAACCCUAAUAAAUGCGUUCUCCAUUGGCAUUGAAUUUUGCCACCAUAACAAUAUUUGAGGUAAAUUUCAAAAAUAGUUCCAUAUCUUUGUUUAAGUUUAAUUUUGGUCACCGAUGUUUCAAUUGUUACGUUUUGUAGUUCACUUUUAUAUUCGGACCAAUAUACUCUUUCCCGUCUUCCUUUUCUUUUCUUCUAACCAAACCCUAGUCGCUGCUCACCGCCAUCGAUGGUCCUCCGGCCGAUAGUGCCACCAUUACUCCUCUCCUCUCCGUUCACUGAUUCAGAUUUCUUCUAGAGCAAACAAAAGGACAAAAGCCCAAGUUGAAGCUUAAACCUUUUCCAACCGUCAGAUCGGCCUAAUCCCAGGAUAUGUGCCUCUCCUCCGUCCAAUGAGGCUUUUCACCAUUGGAUUUGCGAGCAAAUAACUAGAGCCCCGAGAAUUCAACAACCCGAAAUGGGUUUUCUCUUCCCCUUUUGAUUUCCAUUUGCUCUCUUUUUCUUGAUUUUUUAUUCUCUUUUUUUCAUUUCUAUGCCUUCUUCUUUUCCGUGACAUGGAAGCCAUGUUAGCAUUUAGUGGUACAAUUUGUGCAAUGUCAGAUUUUUAUUAACACUAUUAACGGCCAUUAACCGACCAGUAAUCAAAUUGUUAAUAAUUGAUAAAAUUUAUGAUCAAAUCAUAACAAUUGAAACAUCAAUGACCCAAAUGUAAACUUAAACAAAGAUAUGGGAUUAUUUUUGAAAUUUCUAUAACACUAUUAAUGCCCAUGGUGGUAAAGGGCAUAAUUUAUUAUUAUAUUAAUCAAAAUUAUGUAUAAUUAGCAGAAAACAUUAAUUUUUGUAAUUAAUUGUCUUUAAUUACUCAUUUUCAAAAUUGACGAAAUUUAAAUUAUUCUAUCUUUUUAAGAGAUUAAUCUGCUCGAUAUUAAAAUUGAAGGAGACUGAAGAAAUAUUUUUACCUAAAAUUUUUUAGUAUAAGCCUAGCACUUUCCUAGCCAAUCAAGUCCUUAUCAUAUGGUUUGAUUGUCAAACUCAAAAUUAAAGUCAGUCUUUAUUAAAUCAAAUAAUUGCAAAGUGUAUAGCUUUUGCCGGUUCUAUCUUAAUAAUGUAAUCCAUCUAAUAAUAUAUAUUUGUUAAUGGGUCGGGUCGGAUCAAGUUCGAGUUAGGUUUAAGUAUAAUGUCAACACAUUGUAUGUUUAUCCAAGUUCGUUUAGUCUGAAAUAUAAAUUUAAAAUUUUAUCUAAAUCUACCCAUAUUUAUAAAUAUCUGGUCUAAAUUCAUUUUAAACCCGCUCAUAUUAUCUUUAAUUUAUUAUUUAAUAAUUUAAUUUUUUAUUUAUAAAAAAAUUUAUAUAUAGACAUCUAAUAUUUUUAAUGUUUAUAUAAUAUAUAUUAAAAAUUAAAAAGGGUCUAGGCUAAGUCGGACUUCAAAUGUUCAAACUCAAAUUCGACUCAUAUUUUAAACGAGCCUAAUUUUUGUUUAGGCUCAAUUUUACGAGAGUUUAACCUUUUUAAAAAUCAGACAACAUUGGAGUUAAACGAAUAACCCGAUCUAUGAAUAGCUCUAGAUUAACCCAAGACUCAAUUAUUUGAAAAACAUAAAAAGGGCCUAGGUAGACAAAAAGGUUUAAUGUAUUUUGUUUUUUGCCGGUAAAUUGAGAAUGCUGGAAUUGACAAAGCAACAAUAAAUAAGAAGCAUCUUUAAUUAGAGGCUGGCAAGCCAAUGGCUCUUCAAUUCCUAUUUUUUCAUUAUCUUAUAUUAAUAAUUAAUUUGGAUUAUUUAUUUUAUUUUUCUUGAUAAUGAUUAAACAUAAAAGUUUUAGUGUCAUAAAUAGAAAUUGGAGUAAAUAUAGAGUUGUUCAUAAGACAGGUGGCCCAUUUAGCUCGCGUAGUAUGAUCCGAUUUGAAUUUAAAUUAAAUUCUUUUUAAAUUUUAUAUAAAUAUAAAUAUCAAAUAAUAUAUUUUAAUAUUUUACUAAUUUUUUAAAUGGUGAUAUGGAAAAUUUUUUAAAAAUUUGAUAAUUAUAUAUUUCUUUCACUACUAUUAUAUAUAUUUUUAUUAAAUUUUCAAAUAUAAAUAACUUACCUUUUUUAAAAUAUAUACAUUAUGAUAUAACAUAUUUAAUUUUCAUAUGAUAUAAGUACAUAAUGCAUAAAUAAAAGGAAAAGUUACAUAUCAUAAGCUUGAAAACAUACUAGAGUUGAUAUUUGAAUACUGGAGUUCGAAUUAGACUUAUAUUUUAAAUGAACUUAAUUUUUUUACAUAAACUCACUCCUAGCAUGACGAUUGUUUUUUUUUUUUUUUCCGAAUCCUCCCAAUUAUUGAGAAGGAAUUUGAGUUAGGGUAGGUAUAUUGACCAUUGAACAAGUCCAAUCAUAGUUAAUAUUUUGAAAUUAUGAUUUAGAUUUUUAAUUGGUCGCUAAAUUUUAAAACUUUCUAACUGAACUAGCAUAAGUAUCGUAUCAAUCAAGUCUUUUCGAAAGUUUAGUCAUUAGCUUGAGGAUAAACGUUGGCUCAAACAUAACAUUGAGCCUAUUUUAAACAUAUGGAUCAAAUUAUAAUAUGUGUAUCGAAUUUGACGUGUUAAGAAAUGAAUCUCUUAAAUUUAAUUGACGAUGUUACUUGGGAUAAACAACACUCAAGAUUAAUAAAUUGAUAAAUUAAUGUUUUAAUCAUUUAACUUUAAAAAAUUACUAAAUAAUUACUGAACGGGCAAAAUACUAAAAAAAGUCCUAUUUUUUUAAAAUUUAUCGAAAUGGGCUCGGUAUUUUAUUAUUUACUGGAAUGGGCCAUUUUCCCCGAAAUCGCGUCCACGUCAGCGCGAUGUCAGGGGACGUGUCAGAACAUCGCGUCCACGUCAGCUCGCUUAGCUUAUGUGGACAGAAAUCGCGCCUACGAGGACGCGAUUUGCUGACGUGGAUGAACAGUUUAUGUUUUUUAGCUUGGAAAACUUUGAAAGGCCAUAACUUUUGGCUCGGUUGUCCGAUUGAGACGAUUUUUUUAUUUCGAAUAACUUUUCGAGAUCUACGCGCUGAAUUUCGAUUUGCCGCAGUUUUCGUCAAAAAAGAUCCUUUUUUGCCCCUGAAUUUCGAUUUUUUCAGUUUAAAAUUGAAUUUUGAAACAUUCAAAUCAUUAUUUUCCUUAUUUAUUUGAAGUAAACACCGGAUUUUUUUUACAGAAUUGUUGUAUUAUUUUUUCUGAUUUGACACGUGUAUGGAAUAGGUCCGAUAAAUCGUUAGAACGUAAGUAAUAUAAUUAAGAUUAUAACAGUAUUUCUAUAAUAUGUUAAUUAAUUAGUUUGGCUUAGUUGGUUAAGAUGCUUGCUCUUUUCCCUUAGUACCUUGGUUCAAAUCUUGUUGGUAACAAUUUUGAAUCUUUUUUGUACUUGUUGCUAUUGAUGUAAUAUUGAAGAGUUAAUUGAUUAAAAAAAUAAAUACAAGUACAAAAAGAUUCAAAAUUUAUUUUUUCAAAAUACCAAAAAAGCCCUAUAUUUUUAAAAUUUAUCAAAAUGGGCCCGGUAUUUUAUUUUUUUGACCGUUGGGUACUGUUCACGCGCGGGCCGAAAUCGCAUCCACGUCAGCAUCUCGCGCUGACGUGGACGCGAUUUCCUGACGCGUACCCUGACAUCGCGCUGACGUGGACGUGAUUUUCCGAAAAAAGAACCAUUCCGAUAAAUAAUUAAAAAAUAGGCCCAUUGCGGUAAUUUAAAAAAAAAAGCUUUUAUUAGUAAAUUGCCCAUUACUGAACUGCUUAAAAAUUUUCAUUUAAAUUACUGGAAAGGUUUUAAAUAUAUAAUUUUACAAUUUUUUUUUGUUUUAUUAAAUAAAUGACCGACAAUACUAUAAACCUUUUAGUUUCCACUUUCUAUCUUGUCUAUCAAUUCAUGGCAAUGUUAAUCAAUUAUGGUUAGUUAUGAAUUAUAAUAAGAAAUUAAUGAUAUUUAUUGAGACUAGUUCUAUGCACAUCCCCCGAGGGGGGCAAUAAAACAAUAAAGAAAAUUUUGGGUGAAAAUUCAAAAUAAUGAAAAAUUAAAAUUACUUAACUAAUAAUUUUUACUAUUUACCCUUAUCGAUUUAUUUAUUGCCAUGUACUCUAAUUUAUAUGAUUUUUGGUUCUUGUCUUUUUUAUGUUUUGGAAUUUUAGUGAAUACUUAAAUUAAUUAAGUUAAAUUUGUUAUUUCUAAAAUUUUACAUGGCAAACAUGUUUUUUUCCACAUAAUCCUUGCAAAAAAAAAGUCAAUCACUUUAGUUAAUUGAUAAAAUAGUUACGGUUUGAAUCGUGACUAAAAUAUCAAAAUUUAAAAGUUAAGUAUUAAAAAUAAUGAAAUUGGAGAACAUGGUCUAAAUCCAUAAUUUAGGCAUAGUACAAGAUUAAUAGCAUAAUUUGAUUUAACAUAUUUAACUGUCGUUUGGGUUGAGAUUAAAAUUUCAAAAUUCAAAAAGUACAAAGAUUAAAAUUGACCAAAUUAGAGUAUAAGAACAAAAAUUAAUAAAUUAUACAUGAUAUAGGGAGUAGGGACCAAUAAUAAAAUUUGACCUUAUAAAUGAAUAAAAAGUGCUAAUGGUUUUAAAAACUUACUGUGAUAAAAAAAAUGCAUGAGAGAGAAGUUAAAAUUAGGAAAGUUUUCUAGUCUCAUCAUUAGCUAUUGCUAUGUGUUGGUUUUUUCUGUUGAGUUUAAGACUUAUGAAGAUAAAUAUUAAUUACAAAUAAGAUUCCGCUAAAAUAAUCUCAUAAAAAGACUUUACAAAUAUAAUCGUAAAGUUCAAAAUAAAACAAAAAUUUACAAGAUAUAUCUUCAAGUCAAUCUUCAUAAAUCAAGGGAUCCAAUUUAUUUGACCUAGAUCAGUCCAAACUUCAAGGAUUUGUAGCUUCACAAAAUAGAUCUUCAAAUAUGGGUCAACACAUGUUCAUAAUAUUCACUAAGUCAUGACCCAACUGUUUUGGUUUAAAGAUCCGUCGACAUUAAUAAGCCAAGUUAUGUAACUUGUGGGCACUACAUGAGACAUUGCUCACAUAUUGCCUCAACAAUCUCUUCCAACAAGAAUUCUAUAUUUAGAAUAUGAAUCCAUCUUUAUAAAGUACCAUUUAAUCCAUCUUAAUCUGUCUAAAUUUUAUCAAAUCAAUUACCCUUAAUAUAAGAUUACAAAUGAUUGUGGUAAAUCUUCAUAAAAUCAACUCGCGUCUUCUUGGAUUUACAUAUCCAAAUAUAUAAGAUAACUUAAUUUGGACACGAGCAAUAUUACUACUUUAAAAACUUACCUAGACCCAAACACUUGUAUAAACUUAUUUUGUAUGAGAAAUUAUAGAGAAGAUUAAUUAAAUUUUAAUCUAAUUGCUGCAAAAUUUUCAAUUAUUUCAAUGGGAUAAUGCUAAGAAUAUUAUAUGAGAUUUGAGACCCUACAUUAUUGUGAAAUAUCAAAUCAGACCUACAUGACAUUUUUUUUCUUCAUAUAAAUCAAAUUUAAUGUAUAGAAAGUUCUAUUUUGUAUAUUUUAGCUGGAUCACACAUAAAAAAGUACUUUUAAUUCAUUGAAUUUUUUGAAGGGAAAAUCAAAUCAGGUAUAAUUUAAUAUUUCAACAAGCACAAAUAAUUGAUCUUUUGUGUGGUUUUAGAUAAAAGAAAUAAAUUUUAAAUAAAUCGCUUAGAACCAAUUGAAUAGGAUAAAAAAAUUGAUUAAAUUAAUGAUUGAAUUGAAUUUAUACUUUUAUAAUUAUUUUUUAAAAUUUAAAAUUAUUAGUAAUUUAUUUAAUUAAAAUUGAAGUGGUAAUCAAUUUGAUCAAACCGAAAAUCGAUUAUCUGAUGAAUUUAAUCACCAAUCCAAUUCUUAAUGCAUGUUUUUGACUUGGACAGGAAUUUUUCUUUUUAAAUUUAAUAUUGGAAAAUGAUUUUUCUAUGUAUAAUGUUUUUGGCUUAAAUACUCAUUUAGCUUUGGAAUUUAUCAUUUUCUCCCAAUUUGGUAUUUAUGGUAUUUUUGUUCCAAUAUUAAAUAUCAAAACCUUUGAUGGAAUGAAAAUCGAGAUACCAACUUGAAACAGAAAACCAUAAAUACCAACUUAAGAGAAUAUGAUAAAUUCGAGGGUUAAAUGAAUAUUUAAACCAACAUUCACUGAUUCAAGUAUAAACAACUACCCUAUCACAAAUUCAUAGAUUUCAUCCUUCGUUAUAAAACAAAGUUGCUGUGAUAAUUUUAUUUUCAAAAUGAAAUAUAAAAUAAUUAUUAAAUAAACUAAUUAAAAAUAUCAGAAAAUAACAAUUUCCUUUCGGUACUUUCACAGUAUCACUAUAAAUAUACUCGUAUAUAUAUAAAAAAAACUAAUAAUUUUCUUUUAAUUAACCAUAUGAAAUCAAUAAUUAAUUAUUACAUUUUUAGAAAUAAUAAUUUAAUUAAAAUUGACACAUAUAUAUAUAUAUUUAAAACUCAUAUCAAUAAAUUAAAGCUUCUAAGAAAAAAAAAUGAAUGUUAUUAAAAUAAUUAUGAAAAUCUAAUUAAAAAGCUAGCUGCCUCAAAGCUCAUUAAAUGCAUGCAAGGCAAUUGCAGGGUCAGGUAUGCACACGCCCUGAAAAAGAUUGCUCAAACAGUUUCUUACAUGCAGAGACUUUUUUGCCUAAAAUUAUACCCUCAAUCAUUUAACAUCACAGAGACUUUUUUGGCUAAAUUUAUACCCUCAAUCAUUUAACAUCUCCUUUUCUUAUCUGCUAAAUUCGAUUUAGUAAAAAUAAUUAAAAAAUUUGAAUGACAAAAAUAUGAACUUUUAAAACCUAAAUGAUUAUUGGGAAAAAAAUAAUUAACAGAGAAAUUUAUAUUUUAAUAUAAUGAUAAAAUUGUACUUUAAUUCCUCUAGUAAUUCAUAAUUCAUAUCUAACUUUCUUUAAAAUAAUUUUCUAACUUCGUCCAUGCUUCAGCGUAUACAGGGGCAGAAUCACCUUUAAUCCUUUUAUAAUUUUAAAUAAUUUAAAUUAGCAUAUGUAAAAUUACACUUUGCCUCUCAAGAAUGAGAACAAAAUUAGUAUAUAAACUAUUAAGAUGAUGAAAUUUUACUUUUACUAUUAUAAAAAUAUACAAUUUUAUUCCGACCCCUCAAUUUCUCUGGAUUUUGAUUGAUUUCCACUAGUUGCCACUAAAUUGUACUAAUGUAGAGUUGAAUUUUAUUCCAAAAAAGCUACUAAUGGUAUCAAUUCAAUACAAUAUAUAUAUAUAUAUAUAUAUAUAUAUAUAUAUAUAUAUAUAUAAAGUUCAAUGAUUUCGAUAUACCGUUUGCACAAUCAACACGUUUGGUCUAAAUAAUUAUGAAAAACUUGUAAACUCAUCAUUGAAUACAAGUAUCAUUAACAUUAAAAUAUUUAUCUAUUUCUAUUAUUAAAAACUGACAUGAUUAAUAAUAAAAUAACAAAAUAGUUACAAGUGACACACCACGUGUACCUCACUCUAAUGUACAUUAACCAGUUUUUAACAAUAGAAAUGGAUACAAAUUUUAACCGAAGGACUAGUCUGCUGUUUGAUUUAAUGCAUAAAGACUAACUUACCCAAUUUUAAUAGAAGGGACAAAAUAAAAUUUGACUCUCAGUACAAACAAGACUCCUGUUACUUUUACCUAUUGAGAAACAAUGGAAUUGAAAAAGAAAGUUGGAAGUUCAAAUUCAAUGGGAUAGAAACCUUGAAAGGACAGUGGAUAGUUCUCUUUGAUCUAUAUAACAAGUGAUAUAACAAAAACAGUAAUUUAAUUUGAUUAUUAUAAAACCCUGGAAAGAAUCUUACAGUACAAUAAAUAGUUGUUCAAGAAUAUCAACUUGCAAUUCUACUGAGUUGAGUAACUAGCUCCUUAUCUGUAGAGUUUUUCAAAUGUUCGACGAUUUCGUCGACAUACGGAGCUUCUAAGUGAAUCCUUCUUCUAAGCAUUAACCUAGCAAGCUUCACAGCUUCAACUGAAUGGCUUUGCCGACACAAGCCAACCAAAAGAAUAGAAUAGAUGUCAGUGUCGAUGGAUGAAAUGUAUUGAAUCCGCUCGAUUUCAUUGUAUAAGCAAAAACCAUCUAGCACUCGUCCCUCAUGACAGAUCUCCCUAAUCAUGGUACUACAAGCAAUGCCACUAGGUUUAGCCCCACUUACUAACAUUUUCCUAAAGAGCUUCUCUACCUCAUUGAGUCUAUUAAUCCUAAUCAAAGCCAAUACAAGAGAACUGUAGCAAUCACUAUUGGAAACACCACGUCCGGCAACUCUAUCGAUCAACUUAUAUGCUUCUUCGACAUGUCCCUCGGUGCAAAGACCCGUGAUCAAAGUAAUAACAGUUAUACGGUUAGGAACACACUGGCAAGCUUCCAUUCUAUCCAAAAUCCUCAAUGCCUCUAUUGUUUGACCCUUCUCACAAAAGCUUUUAAUCACAGAUGUAUAUGUGAUUACAUUUGGACUACAAUUCCCACCUGCUUUCUCCAUCUCCCCUAAUAAUUCCAAUGCCUUUUCCGUACUCCUGUACUUACAAAUACCCUCGAGAAGCACGGAAUAAGUCACAGCAUUUGGAGAAAACCCUUGCCCCUUCAUAGCCUGAAACAACUCACAAGCCUCCUCCAAUCUACCAGCAUUACAGAACCCCUUGAUCAUUGCAAAAUAAGUCAUCAUAUCGGGAUAAAGAUCAAUCAAGCCAAUCUCUUUCAUCAAUUUAUGAGCCAUAUCCAUAUCCCCUUUCUCACAAAGCAGCCUGAUAACCACAUUAUAAGCAGUAGUAUCCGGACGUAAAUUAAAUUCAGGCAUUUUCCUCAAUAGCAACAAAGCUUCAUCGGCAAUGUUAGCUUCUUUACACAAAUUCAAAACAACCUUAAACAUUUUAAGGUUAACUGAACACUUUUCCAUCCUGUAAGCUUUGAUAACAUCCAAAACAAGAAAUGGGUUUUGCUUAAUUUUCAAAAAUCCAGCAGCUUUGUUGUACAUAUAAGAACUAUACCUACAAUUUGAUUGAAGACCUGCCCAUAUGAAAAACCUUAAACCUAUUUGAGAUAGAGAUAUAUCAAAAGAACAUCUUUUUAACACCUCACAAACACAGUUUGGGUCCAAUUUGGCAUUGACUAAAGCUAAGGUUUUCUCUAUAUUGCUUUGGUUUUUCUCUAAAAGAGUGAAAAAUUUGUCGGCAGAGGAGACCGAUCUGAAUUGAAGAUUGAAAAUUUUGCUUUGUUUAGUGUGAAUUGAAAGUGAAAUCAAUCUAGAGAGAGAAGCAAUUGGCAUUGCUUUGUGGGGGAAUUUAGUGUCUUUGCAAGAGUUGAGGUUGAACAAAACAAUGAGGUAAAAUCUUACGAGAUUGUUUCCGAAUGAAGUUGGAUAAGUUUUGGCAAGAAUGAGGCCAGGUGUACCGAGUUGUUCGAAUGUGGCCCAGUACGGUGGCAUCAACUCAUAGCCAGGCAACCAUAACCUCAUAUAUGGCCCUGCAUUAUAACGAUAGAGCAUUAAGGUAACUCACAAUUAUGUAUGAUUUUCAUUUUAUUAAAAACAUAACAGUAUCAAGCAUAUAUCCGUGUUUGAUGUUCAAAUAUGAGUCCGGUGUGUAAAAGCGGAAACACGACAUUUCCUAAAAAUUAUUACCAUAUUAGCACAAGUCAGUGAUGGCUAAGCUUCUAUUACAUUGAAAGAUUGUUAAAUCGAAACCUGCAGUUUUAACACAUUAACUUCAUCAAAGUGGAAAAGCAAAACCGAAUUUUAUAAAAAUUAUAAUCGGAAACGAAAUUCACUUUGACGGAAACCGGAAUAACAACUGAGUUUAGUCGGUCGGUCCCGUCGGUUAAUCAUACCGAAAAAAUAUCAUGAAAAAAGCUGUUUUUUUUUUUAAUUUACACAAACCAUAAUGAAAGUAAAUUUGUAGUAAAUAAUUGAAUUUCCCAUAAUUGAUCGCAACAAAAAACUCAAUUUACAACCAUAAUUAAUUGGAAAGCUAAUCGAAAGUCAUAAGCUACCUGUUUCAUUUGGCUACUACUUCAAAUGACUACCAUAGAAUUUCGAAAUGGGCCAAAACUAAUUUUAGGGUAAAAGAAAAGUAGGCGAUGAGCAAGACGACAAAGUUGAACAUCAAUAGAUUAAAUAGUUUUAAAAGAAAGAUUGAACAGCUAUAUACAGUAGAUUAAAUGUGGCAAAAGCCAAAAAUAACUUACAGUGGCCGGUGACGAGGCGUUUUCCGAUGAGCAAGGCGGCAACCGAGGUCCGAGAAAGGUUGAAGGCGAUGAGCUGUUACCCACCGGCGUUGGGUUUGCUGGUUCAGUUCAAGGCUGUUCACCAUAGAUUUAGGCUUUUAUUUUUAAUUCGUUUAAAAUUUUUUCUUUUUUAAAUGAAUUAAAAUUUGUAUUUGGGUUUUUUAGUUUUUAGAAUUUGUAUUGGGCUUUAAUUUUUAUAGCUUGGAUCUUGUGUAUAAUGAAUUUAUUUGGGGAUUGGAAAAUGAGUAUGAUAUUUAUAUUUUAAAAAUAUAUAAAAUUAAUAAGUUAUAUUAAUUCGAAUUAGAUUUUAAAAUCGAUUGACUUAAAAUAAUUGAAUUAGUCUCUCAAAUCGAUUUGAAAUUAAAAUUGAUUUAAUUGAAUUAAGUGAAUCAAAUUUAAUCGAUUAAUUCGAUUUUAACCAAGUUUUCAUCAUCUUUAAAUUAAGUGAAAGUAUAUAUGUAAAAAUGUAUACUAUAUUUCAAACACAUAAAAGAGUUGGUAUCACGAGUCAACUGGACGCUAACUUAAGUGAAAAUACCCUUACUUUACAAAGUAAAUUGUAUUAUUUUAAGGAUGUUUUUGUCUUUCUACAUCUUUUAUAUAGAAAAAUGUUUACAUAUAAUAAGACUUUAACUUGUGUAUUUAUAGUUUCAACAUUUAUACUUUACAAUUCAACCAAAGUCUCAUUUACUAUAUUAAUUAAUUAUAAAUAUAUUUAUUAUAUAAUAUUAUGUUUUUCGUCUACGUGGUUGUGUCAUAAUCUAGUAAUAAUAGUAAAUAAAGUUUAUGCAAUUUAGGUUAAGUGAGUCACAGUACACCCAUCUCUUUACGCGCAUUUCGUUUUUAUCCCAAAGCUUUAAACUCACCACGCAGUCCUAGUCGUUCGCCGCAAUGCUUCGCUUUUCUUCAGUGGUUUCUGGCAUUGAUUUUGGUUUCAAUAUGUUCCCCUUAAUCUCCUGUCUACUAUUCUAGGAUUAUAUCCCAACAUCAUUGGUUUUCUCUAAUCUAAACUCAAAGUUUUGGUUGGCGUGCUUUCGGUCUCCCUCGCACACUGUUAACCACAACUCAAAUCUUAUAGUAGUCACUUUGAGCUUUCCAAAUCUAGUUUGACUAAAUUUGGGUCAAUGAAGCAUUUCACCAACGCCAUUCACUGCUCGAUCUUCUCAUGAAGCCAACGACUUGUUCCUUCUGUUCUCAUGAAUUGUAGGUUUUAUGUUUUCCCUAAUUUUUAUUCCUUGUUGGAUUGCAUUGUGUCACGGGUCAAGACUUUAGCUCCGAUCAUGUGUGACUUUAGAUUCGACUAAGUCAGCCUUUAGUCCUCGCUUGGGAGAGAUUUUAGCACACUUAGGGAACUUAGAUAGAACAAGAGAAUGUGGGAGAAUGUGGAAGCAUUCUUAUUAACUCUCAAAGUUAGCUUGUACAAAUGAGGGAUGAGAGCCUCUCCUUAUAUAAGUAAGCCCCAUUCAAUCCAACGGUUACAAUUGAUUACAAUAAAUGGUCAAUAUCACAUUCUAGAACUUUCCCACUUAACUCCAUUAAAUUCUAUACAUGAACGGAUAGUUCUAGAGCUUCCAAAAAUAUUCUACAUGGUUCUAAAGUCUUUCGGGGCACUUCGGGAAUCUUGUGGCUCAAUAGUCUCGUGUUUGCUCGAUUUCGGGCUUGAUAAGGCCUUGCUCACUCACGAAUCAUGACACUUGGAUUAGUUGCCUUGCUUUGUCUCUAUUUUUUUUUCAAUUGCAAAAUAGGAAAUCAAGAAAACUACUAGGUUUGUGCUAGGGAAUUUGCUUCAAGGGUAGGCAUUUCAACCCUUAAGGUUCUUUUGGAAGGGUAAGGAUGAAGGUAAAAGUGGGCUAGACUGUGUUAACCAAAGGUUUCAAAGAAUUUGACAUUCAAGAUUGUUAUAUUGCUACCUCGGCUUGGGCAUGUGGUAACAUGAGAAGCGAUUGAGGAAACACACAUGGAUGGCCUUCCACCUUAUAUCGUCCAUAUGAUUUCUCAAUGACCAAUCACCUGCAUGCUUCGUACUACCCAGGGGAAAGAUCAUCUAUCCUUAACCACUCGAUUGGACCCUUCGUUAGGCCACCCGCUAUUAGCUAGUGCACUCUCCUCAAGAGGAGACCUUCGAGUGGUGUAAUUGGACAGGAGACCUCCUACCUAUAAAUACCACAAGAUACAACAUAAAAGGGAUCUUCUUCUUCCUUCUCAUAAACCCUAAAUAACAUACUAAGCCCUUAGCCUCCUCUUAUUCCCUCACUUUUCCAACUCUUCACUUGUUUAGAUUAACCAACCUCCUUCGCUCCACCACCUUCUCCACCAUAUUUCCUCAUUUGUUGAUAUAUUGUAUCAACAAAUAUAUUUAAAAUAAAUAAAAUAUAUAAAUAUAUGAAGUUUGUUAAGUUGAUUGGUUCAAUUAUGAAUAUUAAUAACCUUAAACUGACUAACUUAAUCAAAAGCAUGUGCCAACUAAUUUAAUAAAAUACACAAACCCAAUAUUGGUUUAACCGAAUGAACCAAUUAAAUCAAUAAUAUUCGAUUUUUGCUUACCCUAUGCAUCCAAAGAGAAAAGAAAAUUGAUUUUCAUCCAAUUUUUUUAUUCGCUCUGCCUACCAUGCGGUGAAGGUUGAGCUAUAGAAAGAAAAAAAAAAACCCAUGCCCUUUCCAAUUUCAAAAUCGAAAUUUUUUCAAUCAAAGUAUCAUAAAAGCUCAUGUAGUAAAGUUAAAUUGUGUUUUGUCCAUUUUACUUAAAAAUUAAAAAAUUAGUCUCUAUAUAUUAGGGCAAGGAACAAAUUGGUCCUUUUAGCUAAAAAGUUCAUCAAUUUUUAACAAUAGAAAUGGAUAAAAUUUUUAACAGUGGAUAAAAUUUUUAACAGAGGACUAAUUGACUCUUUAAUCUAAUAUAGAUUAAUUUGGUUCUACUACAGGGUCAUCCACGAUACAUUUACCAAAAAUUUUCUCAUAUCACAUAAGUUUCUUUUUGGUUUAUAUCACAAGUGUCCUUAUUCGAUAUGAGAUUAGUUUCGCUCGGGUUAAGAAUGGAUUCGAGUAAAGCCCUCUCAAUAAUGAGAAUUCUAAAAAUCGAACUUAACCUAAAUUACCGACGGAAAAAUCCACUCUUUCCAAGCACUUGUUAAUACGGUUUAACAAUAUAUUUAGACAAAAAUAAUAAUAAUUGAAAUAAUCUACAUUCUUCUUAUGAUACAUCAGUGAUUUCAUAUCCGUUUUGUAAGAACCGGUUGGCGUUUAUGGUGUUUGGUUGCUGUUUUUUGUUCCAUAGUUGUCUUCUUUCUUUGUAUAUGUACUGAAUUACGGCUUUUUCCUCUUCUCAAAUGCUCCUUUCAAUACUGUCAUCCCACCCUAUCUUUCAAAUUCUAUUGCCUUUCUUUCUCUAUCUUCUAUUAUAUAUAGUAACUUGUCUCUGUUUCCCAAAUCUUUGUUGGCCAUUGUAGCUUAAACAAAAGCUCAACACCCGAGGUUUUAAGAAAAAAGGUUUGUUUUCCUUUUCUGCCUUCUCUUUUUUCCUUUUUGUCAUUCGCUUCUGCAUUAACUUACUUGUCCUUCGAUCGUUACAUCAUUUCAACAGACUGCGAUAUAUCGCCCGCCCUUAUAAUAUUAUUACCACUCUCCUCUUCCGUUAUAAAAAGUAUCCAAAUUUUGCCAUCGUUUUCUUCAUCAAAAUGAGCCAUAGUUUCAUAUUUUCCCUUCUUUUUCUCUUGAUUUUAAGCUCAACCCAACUGAGAUACAAAGCUGAAGGUAACUUUUAAUCAUCUUUUUCAUUAGGCAAUUUUUUCUUGCUUGCUUACUUUUGUUUCUGCAGGUAGAUCAAUACCAAAAUCCGAUGAAGAAAAGGCGAGGUUAAGAGCACAGAUAGGAUCAAGGCCACCAAGGUGUGAGAGAAGGUGCAAUUCAUGCGACCAUUGUGAAGCCAUUCAAGUGCCUACCAAUCCUCAAAUCUCCCAUGUUGCUUAUGCAAGAGGUGAUGGAAGCUCUAACUACAAACCCAUGAGUUGGAAAUGCAAAUGUGGCAACUUCAUCUUCAACCCUUAGCUCAUAAAUACAUAUAUAUUUUAGGUUCUUAAAUACCCAUUUUUGAACCAUGUAAGUAUUUUUUUUUUUUUUUUGCUUGUGAGAACAUAUUAGAAUUCCGUUGUGAAAUUUCUUGAUUAUCUGAAUCUUUAAAAAGAAAAUGAAUCUAUAGUACUUGCUGUUGCUGUGGGGCGUGUAUUUGUACUGGUAUNNNNNNNNNNNNNNNNNNNNNNNNNNNNNNNNNNNNNNNNNNNNNNNNNNNNNNNNNNNNNNNNNNNNNNNNNNNNNNNNNNNNNNNNNNNNNNNNNNNNACGUACUAAGAUACGAUUUCUUGGGCAAAUCGUUAUGACGUUGGGAGGAAGGGGGGUCUAGAAAUUAGUGUAAAGUAUUUACUUAAAAAGUAGACAAUGAUUUUUGAGUUGGUAUAGUUUCACCAUACACGCCAUCGUGUCUGGUUUUGGUGUCAACUAUUGUCGAAAAAUGCGAUAGGAAUUGAAGUGAUCAGAGAGGGUAAAGGAAAAAGCUUAAACUGUUCUUUUAAUGGCAGAUUCCAGUUGUGUUUUCUUCUUAUUGUCUCUCUUCGUUGCUUACUUGGCGUGUAAGGAAUUACAUAGUAACGAUUCCGUUUUCCUUGAAAACUUACUUGAACAGUCAGCUCGCCUGGUUUCAUUAACAUGACAAAACAUACAUGGGUCUAAAACCAAAACAACUUUUAGGAUUUAAUCUAAUUGUCUGAAUUGAUUAUCAAGAUUGCUCCGUUGGCUUAUUUCAUUGUUUCAUAAUGAUUAAUUCGAUUUUUUAAGUAUUUAAAUUAGAUUAAGUGCAAUUUUCAGUAAAAUAAACCAAUCCAUUUAAUCAACUUUUCUAUUUUUUAAAUAUGUUUAUAAUAUAUAAUUUUUUUGGGUAAAUAAAGGUAGUGGACACUAUUAUAAAUAACAAUCCCUCUAAAUCAUAUUACGCAUAUAGACUCUAGAAAUGAAAAUAACGUUUCAUCUCUGAGUAAGGGUAUUAAUAGUCUUGUUGAUAUAACUUCUUUUUAUUUUGGUAAAUUAUAUAGUAAAGUCAGUUCUGUAGAAGAAAAAGUAAAUAACUUAGGUAAUAUAAAAGAUUUAGACUUAAACCAUGAGUCUAAAGAAAUAUUAACUAAUGUUAAUAAUAAAUUAGAUCAAGUUUUUAAUAAUAAUAAUAUAGAGUCCGAUGUAAAUUUAGGUCCUUUAUAUUAUGGUAAUGGUCAAGAUCAUAUUUUUGUUUUAUCUGAUGAAGAAAACACUUCAUCUGAUGAGUCGUCAUCUAUGUUAAAAAAUUAUAAAAAACAUAAAAAACGUAAAAAAGUUGAUAAACAAAAAGAAUAUGAUUUCCAAUCCUAUAAAACACUUAUAGAACAUUGGAAAGAAAAAUUUGCUACUACUAAUGAUCAACUUGAAAGAGUUGAAUAUUUAAAACUAAUAGAAGAACUUUAUGAAAAACAUAAAGAUCUUUUUAGUAUGUUUAAUUAUCAUUAUAUGUUAAAAUAUGAUGAUACAAGUAGUGGUUCGAGUAAUUCUGAAAACACAUAAUUAUUCAAAAAUCAAUCUGGUGAAGAAAAAACUUCAACAGAUCAGGAAAUAAAAAAUAGAAACUUAUCUGAUGAAGAAAAAACUUCAACAGACCAGGAUGAAGACAUAAAAGUCUCAACCUAUACUUCUGAUGAAGAAACCACUUCAUCUGAAGAAGAAAAUAUAGACAUUCCUGAACCCAUGGAUACUGAACCACCAGAUCCUCGUGGAAAAAGGAAGUUAGAAUCUGAUGGUCUAACAGAUGACUAUCUUAGAUUUUCUAACAAAGAUUAUGAAUUAGAUAAUGGAAAAUUUAGAAUCUUUGGUAACAAAUCCGAAGAUAUAGCUACUAAUGAUGUUAAACCUGAACAUUUAGGAGAAACAUCUAGUCAACCUGUUCAACAAAGAAUAGAUGACUUAAAUAAAAGAAAUGUUGCUCAAGGAGGAAUAUAUUUAGAUUUGACUAAUAUUUCUAUUCCAGACUAUGAAAAAACCAUAGAAAAUUGGGCACAGUCAAUGACGAUUGUUGUAAACAACAACACAUNNNNNNNNNNNNNNNNNNNNNNNNNNNNNNNNNNNNNNNNNNNNNNNNNNNNNNNNNNNNNNNNNNNNNNNNNNNNNNNNNNNNNNNNNNNNNNNNNNNNNNNNNNNNNNNNNNNNNNNNNNNNNNNNNNNNNNNNNNNNNNNNNNNNNNNNNNNNNNNNNNNNNNNNNNNNNNNNNNNNNNNNNNNNNNNNNNNAAAAAGAUCAAGAUAGUGUUGCUAGCUAUACUCUUU